UACAGAGGUCUCGAGCGUUGUUCGGAUUCAUUGGGCGUAAAGCGCACGUAGGCGGCUUGGCAAGUCGGAUGUGGAAUCCCUCGGCUCAACCAAGGAAGUGCAUCCGAAACUGCUGAGCUUGAGUACGAAAGAGGAUCGCGGAAUUCCCGGUGUAGAGGUGAAAUUCGUAGAUAUCGGGAGGAACACCAGUGGCGAAGGCGGCGAUCUGGGUCGAUACUGACGCUGAGGUGCGAAAGCGUGGGGAGCAAACAGG
rnacentral:rRNA from 1 species